rnacentral:rRNA from 1 species
AGUGAACGCUGGCGGUAGGCCUAACACAUGCAAGUCGAACGGCAUCACAGUAAGAGCUUGCUCUUACGGGUGGCGAGUGGCGGACGGGUGAGGAAUACAUCGGAAUCUACUUUUUCGUGGGUUAUAACGUAGGGAAACUUACGCUAAUACCGCAUACGACCUACGGGUGAAAGCAGGUGAUCUUCGGACCUUGCGCGAUUGAAUUAGCCGAUGUCGGAUUAGCUAGUUGGCUGGGUACAGGCCCACCAACUCGACGAUCCGUAGCUCGUCUGAGAGGAUGCUCAGACACAACGGCACUGAGACACCGUCCAGACUCCUACGGCAGCCAGCAGUGGGGAAUAUUCGACAAUGGGAGCAAGCCUGAUCCAGCCAUCCCGCGUGGGUGAAGAAGGCCUUAGGGUUGUAAAGCCCUUUUGUUGGGAAAGAAAAGCCGCAGGUUAAUACACCGCUGUUCUGACGGUACCCAACGAAUAAGCACCGGCUAACUUCGUG